rnacentral:rRNA from 1 species
GUAGGGAAUCUUCCGCAAUGGACGAAAGUCUGACGGAGCAACGCCGCGUGAGUGAUGAAGGCUUUCGGGUCGUAAAACUCUGUUGUUAGGGAAAAACAAGUGCUAGUUGAAUAAGCUGGCACCUUGACGGUACCUAACCAGAAAGCCACGGCUAACUACGUGCCAGCAGCCGCGGUAAUACGUAGGUGGCAAGCGUUAUCCGGAAUUAUUGGGCGUAAAGCGCGCGCAGGUGGUUUCUUAAGUCUGAUGUGAAAGCCCACGGCUCAACCGUGGAGGGUCAUUGGAAACUGGGAGACUUGAGUGCAGAAGAGGAAAGUGGAAUUCCAUGUGUAGCGGUGAAAUGCGUAGAGAUAUGGAGGAACACCAGUGGCGAAGGCGACUUUCUGGUCUGUAACUGACACUGAGGCGCGAAAGCGUGGGGAGCAAACAGGAUUAGAUACCCUGGUAGUCCACGCCGUAAACGAUGAGUGCUAAGUGUUAGAGGGUUUCCGCCCUUUAGUGCUGAAGUUAACGCAUUAAGCACUCCGCCUGGGGAGUACGGCCGCAAGGCUGAAACUCAAAGGAAUUGACGGGGGCCCGCACAAGCGGUGGAGCAUGUGGUUUAAUUUGAAGCAACGCGAAGAACCUUACCAGGUCUUGACAUCCUUUGACAACCCUAGAGAUAGGGCUUUUCCUUCGGGAGCAGAGUGACAGGUGGUGCAUGGUUGUCGUCAGCUCGUGUCGUGAGAUGUUGGGUUAAGUCCCGCAACGAGCGCAACCCUUGAUUUUAGUUGCCAUCAUUAAGUUGGGCACUUUAAGGUG